GACGAACGCUGGCGGCGUGCUUAACACAUGCAAGUCGAGCGGUAAGGCCCCUUCGGGGGUACACGAGCGGCGAACGGGUGAGUAACACGUGGGUGACCUGCCCUCAGCUCUGGGAUAAGCCUGGGAAACUGGGUCUAAUACCGGAUAUGACUCCAUGACGCAUGUCGUGGGGUGGAAAGCCUUGUGCGGCUGGGGAUGGGCCCGCGGCCUAUCAGCUUGUUGGUGGGGUGAUGGCCUACCAAGGCGACGACGGGUAGCCGGCCUGAGAGGGCGACCGGCCACACUGGGACUGAGACACGGCCCAGACUCCUACGGGAGGCAGCAGGUGGGGAAUCUUGCGCAAUGGGCGAAAGCCUGACGCAGCGACGCCGCGUGAGGGAUGACGGCCUGG
rnacentral:rRNA from 1 species